rnacentral:misc_RNA from 1 species
UUUCCGUAGGUGAACUUGCGGAAGGAUCAUUCAUAAUAAAGUGUUUUAUGGCACUUUUUAAAAAUCCAUAUCCACCUUGUGUGCAAUGUUAGAUCUCGUCAAUCUUGGCGAGAUUUUUAUACAUCAACUCAUUCUUUAACUAAUUUGUCUGAAAAAUAUUAUGAAUACUUAAUUCAAAAUACAACUUUCAACAACGGAUCUCUUGGCUCUC